GUUGCAAGUGACAUAUCAAGUGGAGAAAAUGGCACUGAGAAGCUGCUUACAGGUUAAAUAUUUCUUGUCCUUAAACAUCAUGACAAACGUGCAGUAACAUAAAGUAAUCAGGCUCAGUUAUCAGUACUGUGUGAGAAAUAGAAAUGGGAUUUCUGGGGUAAAGAGAAAGGCAGCUGAAGGGUAAUAUUUAAACCUGUUUUUAUUGCAUCUGAAGAAAAAGCUGCAAUUAUAUCUUAAAAAGCCAAAAAUUUUCAAUUUAUUUAACAGCAGAAACUGUUUCAUGCUUCUUUUCAUGUUCCAUGGUGGUGUGUAUAUUGUGUGCAUUCAUUGUAAUGUUUAGUCUGGGACGUUUGAUCUUUAAAGCUAAAAAGACUAUGUACAAGACAGUGAAAGUCUUGUGAAGACUUUGUGAAGUCACUUUACAGAAAAAUGGCUAAUUCCCUUGACAAAGAAAUGGACAUGUUUCAAUGUAUAUAUAAUGUCUAUUUGAAACCCCCCCCCAACAAACAAACUGUGAAAAACAUGUCAUAUUUGUAAGGAUGAGAAAUGUCUGGAAUGGAAUGUCUGAAGUAGCGAUUUGAGUUUUCAAAGAAUAGGCAUAAAAUGGAAAAAGAAGUCCAACAUGCAGCUAUUUUGUGCUGUUUUCUAUCCAUAGAUGGUGAUGGAAUAGUUCCACAAUGUGCCACUGUUGGCACACCACCCCAUUUCAACCUCUUGAAAUAAUCAAAAGAAGCAUUUGAUUCCUUGUCAAGUGAUGGUUUGGAAAGAAUCUUCUCUAUGUCCAGAGCGUGUCCAAAGAUUAGUUUUAAAUGCCUACAGAAAACACACAAAUUUAUGAAGGGUGAAGCUAUAAAUAAUAAAAACUGUGUUUUUUUUCUUUUAAAGAUGGAAAGCAAUUGCAGAAUAGUGGGUUGUAAGUACAAAGUCCUGUGUUUUUUUCUCUUUGUCAUGGCUGCUGUUUUAGCACUGAGCUGUGUUAGCAGAAAACUAUUGGCUGGGUUUAGUUAGGUCUGCUGGUGAGCAGGAUUUGAACAAGCACCAAAGCCAGUGCUAGAGAAGAGGAGAAACUACAAAGCUGAUGUCAAGGGAAGAAUAAUGCUUAAAAUCUGCAGUGAGAGGUGCUGGGAGCAGUUGUCUAUCGUGAAAUGCCCAGUGUUGGGUGGCUCAUAAGCAUGAUGACAAACAUGGCACCAUCUGCCUAUGGCCAGGUGGGUUGCUACGGAUUAACUCUGCUAGGGAGGCUCCUUGGAUAGAGGGCUAGCUACUGCUGCCUGUCAUAGGAAUUCCUUGGUUGUGUUGGCCAUCAGGGAAGCAUUUUCUCUCUGAGAGCAUAGGUUGACUAUGGUCCAAAAGUACCCAUUAAGGACAAGUAUACUGUUAAUUCACUAAAAGAUAAAUAGCAAGAAAAGAGAUAAAACAGCAAAAGGUCUCUGUGUUCUUUCUGAGACCUCCUUUCCUUGUAAAUCUUUUAAAGUUAGCAGCUUAUCCUCCUACUCAUAGGACACAGUCUGUUGCACUGUUCACAUGAUAAUAUUAGGAUUUUGCUUAGGCACCUGCUGCCAUUUGUCUCUAGCUUUCUCUAUAGAUUGAGGUCUUUCAUGCAUUGGUCUCCACUGCAUCAUACAUUCUGGAUUUUCUGAGGAAAGGAACCUGCAUCUGAGGAGACUGGCAUUUCUUCAGAUGUCUACUUUUGACCAUGAUGGCUUCAGAAUAAUCUCUAUAGUACGCUGUAAGACACAGUGUCUGCAAAGGCCGUGCUAAGAAAUCGGUAAUCCUCUCUGAAUUGCAGUCCUACAGUGUUACUGGUUAGCACACCACUCUUGCUUUACUUUUUUCCUUUGUAAUAUAUGCUUCACUGGAUUUUGAAAAAGUGCUGCAAAAGCUCUGAAGAUGGAUAACGCAAUUCCUUUUUCACAACACCACAAGCCUGCAUUAUGAAUGCAAGAGGCAAUGAAGUAUUCCAGCAGGAAACAUGUUUAGUGGAUAAAUGGACAAGAGGUCUGUUCAAAUGUAUUUCUAACAGUUGUCCAGAAGAAGGAGGAUCAUAAUGCCAUAGUACUGAGACUGUUAUUGCCAUAAUUACCCUACAGGUCCCUCUACUUCUGGUUGUUCACAGUGUCUGUUUCACUCAGCAGCCUCAUAAUAGACCACAUUAGUUCUGAAUAGGACUAUGAGAAAGUGCCUGUACUGCCACAUAGAUUUUGUGGUACUCAGCCUUUUGUGUUCAUCAGAGGCAGCUUGUGUGGGCUAGGCCAGAACCUCACGAAGAGGUUACUGAAGGUUGGGUUGGCAGUUUCAGACACCAGAACCAAAACUAUCAGAUGCUAUUUUUUGCUAUUAUUAGGCUAUAGUAAUUUUAUUCAGUUUAUUUAAAACAUAACUUAAAGACUACAGUUUGAUUUCCAGAGACUAAAUUGAGAAUGCUUGAUCAUUUUGUCAAAUUACAUGAACGUGUCGAUUAUUAUCUCCAUGUAUAUUACAUGGAACAGAUAUGUGGACAUAGAAAAAUAUACUUGCACACUAACUAAAUUAUUCCCUUCUGAGUUCUUUUUUGUGAGAAAUUAAAGGAGAUAUAAUGAAGCCUUGGAGUGGAAAUCAAAGAAAUGUCACCCUGUAUGAUUGGGUGUAAUGGCACCAAGGGAGCCUGAAAGUAUUGUCUCAAUUUAUCAUUUCCAAGACAAGCACCUUGCAUUUGAAAGCAGGAAAGCCUUCAGAAACAUUCUUUCAAUAGCUCUAUUUCUGCAUUUAUAAUUCUCAUAGUAUAUUUGAAUUCUUGGCUUUUAAAACAGCCUUUUGGUUGCAUUGACUCUCUUCUGGUCAAACAUACUUUUCCAGCUAGAAAAGGAAACUAAAAAUUUCCUUCCCUGUUCUCCUCCACUCUCCACCAAAUAAAAACCACUGACCAAAAAUUUUCAUUCUUCCUUAAGAGUUUUGUCUGAUUGAGACCUAUAGAAUAAGGAUCAGCAUGAAUGCCUCUGGUUUACUGCCUACUCAGUAUUUUUUAUGCUAAUAUACCUCAUAUCUCAUGUCCUCCUUUUCAUUGGUGAUUUUCCAUCCAUAACAUUUUUAAAUUCUUCAUUCAUUUAUUUUAUACUUCAUCAUUUCCUAUCAGCUACUAAGGUGCAAAAAGUGAGCUUUUAAUCACAAUCACAAGAUUGGCUUUUCCCUCUGCUUCUCUCCUGCCUUCGCUUGCACUGCUCUGUAUAAAAACCCACCAAAAUAUGAAGCUAAAAUGAGUUAUUUUUCUAGAACACUUUCCAGUGCUUUUGUGCACAUUCUCCUCUUGCAUUGCUUCUAGGAAGAGCUGGGGUAUUUGUUUCAUUGAUUAAAAAGUCCUGUAGAAUUUGGUGGAGGGCUAUAUCCUAUUCAUAGCCCUCUUAAAGCAGCUCAUGGGAUUUAUUAGGGUAAUGCCUAUCUGCUGUAGAAUUCAGUCAGCUACAUAAAUAUUUUUUUGAACUCUCCUAUGACCCAUAUGAUGUUUAGAGUAAUUUCUACGGAGUUUGUUUAAUUUCUUUCAAACUUUAUUGGUUUCAUCCUUAUUAUACUUGAUGGGAAUUUCCCAUGAGAAGAGGAUAAAAAACCCAAUGAAGUAUGAGUUGAAAAAAAUACCCUCUAGUUGUAUACAUUCUUUGUAGAAGAGAUGUGGAACUGUGUCCUUAAUUGGUAACAUAAUAAAUUGAUGUAUGUGCCUGCAUUCUCUUAGGCUUAUACUGUAUUUGGGGAAAAAAUGUGAAAUUACAAAUGUUUUUCAAAAUAUGAAAAGUUUACUAAAGGAUUGAGUGAAAACAUUUCUUAAAGAAUAAAAAAAUCCUCAAUGUAACACUGAGGUGCCUGCACUAUUUUUCUCUACUUUCUGGGCUUCAGAUUUGCAUCAUGAUAUUAAAUAUGCCAUAGUAUAGAUAAUAUGUACUUUGUAAGAUAAAACUUUAUAUCACAGUAAGUGAAAGGCAAGAUAACGAUACAGAUUGUAGCACUGUAUGAUCAGUAUCAAUUACUGUUGCCUACACUUUUCAAUAUAAAUGUAAAUAUAGAGAGUACCUGUUCUAAAA